GAGUUUGAUCAGGAGUAAAAGAGAAGGAAAAAGAAAGAGAGAGGAAGGUCGUGAGCUAGAGAUAGAAAGAGAAGGGAAAAAGAGGAGCGGCCCAAGAAGAAGAAGAAAGAAAGCACCACGGAAGCCAAAGGCCUAAAGAAGAAGAGAGAAGAAGAGUCGCGAUCGGGAGACACCGUGAUACUAGCAGUUUUUGAAGCUGAGUUGCACCUAAUCCCAUAGUUCAAAGAAUAGGUGAGUUUUUCUUCCCUUUUCGCUUUGUUGGGUUCCAUUAGUGUCUCACUCAAAUGCAUAUGGAAGUUUGAAUCCAAACCACUCUCACCCCACUGCGGUAAAUGAGGG
rnacentral:lncRNA from 1 species